rnacentral:rRNA from 1 species
CAAUAGCGUAUAUUUAAGUUGUUGCAGUUAAAAAGCUCGUAGUUGGAUUUCGGAUGGGACUUGCCGGUCCGUCGUUUCGAUGUGCACUGGCCAGUCCUAUCUUGUUGUCGGGGACUAGCUCCUGGGCUUCACUGUCCGGGACUAGGAGCUGACGAGGUUACUUUGAGUAAAUUAGAGUGUUCAAAGCAAGCCUACGCUCUGAAUACAUUAGCAUGGAAUAACACGAUAGGACUCUGGCUUAUCUUGUUGGUCUGUGAGACCAGAGUAAUGAUUAAGAGGGACAGUCGGGGGCAUUCGUAGUUCAUUGUCAGAGGUGAAAUUCUUGGAUUUAUGAAAGACGAACUUCUGCGAAAGCAUUUGUCAAGGAUGUUUUCAUUAA